rnacentral:rRNA from 1 species
GUCCCCUUCGGGGGACAAGUAGAGUGGCGCACGGGUGAGUAACACGUAGGUAAUCUACCUUCGGAUGGGGAAUAACAACCGGAAACGGUUGCUAAUACCGCAUAAUGCAGCGGCACCUAAUGGUGACAGUUGUUAAAGCGGGGGAUUGAAAGACCUCGCGUCUGAAGAGGAGCCUGCGGCGGAUUAGCUAGUUGGUAGGGUAACGGCUUACCAAGGCUACGAUCCGUAGCCGGCCUGAGAGGGCGGUCGGCCACACUGACACUGACAUACGGGUCAGACUCCUACGGGAGGCAGCAGUCGGGAAUUUUGGGCAAUGGGCGAAAGCCUGACCCAGCAACGCCGCGUGAAGGAUGAAAUCCCUCGGGAUGUAAACUUCGCAAGAACGGGAAGAAUAAGUAGGGGACAAUACCCCCUAUGAUGACGGUACCGUUUGUAAGCUCCGGCUAACUCCGUGCCAGCAGCCGCGGUAAUACGGGGGGAGCAAGCGUUGUUCGGAUUUACUGGGCGUAAAGGGCGCGGUAGGCGGCCUCCGCAAGUCAAUUGUGAAAUCUCCGAGCUUAACUCGCAAAGGUCAACUGAUACUGCGGGGCUAGAGUGCGCCAAGGGGCAACUGGAAUUCUUGGUUGUAGCGGUGAAAUGCGUAUGAUAUCAAGAGGAACACCGUGCGACUGAAGGCGGGUUGCUGGGCCGACACUGACGCUGAGGC